UGCAGUUGAGCGCUGAAGGUUGGUACUUGUACCGACUGGAUGAGCAGCGAACGGGUGAGUAACGCGUGGGGAAUCUGCCUUUGAGCGGGGGACAACAUUUGGAAACGAAUGCUAAUACCGCAUAACAACUUUAAACACAAGUUUUAAGUUUGAAAGAUGCAAUUGCAUCACUCAAAGAUGAUCCCGCGUUGUAUUAGCUAGUUGGUGAGGUAAAGGCUCACCAAGGCGAUGAUACAUAGCCGACCUGAGAGGGUGAUCGGCCACAUUGGGACUGAGACACGGCCCAAACUCCUACGGGAGGCAGCAGUAGGGAAUCUUCGGCAAUGGACGAAAGUCUGACCGAGCAACGCCGCGUGAGUGAAGAAGGUUUUCGGAUCGUAAAACUCUGUUGGUAGAGAAGAACGUUGGUGAGAGUGGAAAGCUCAUCAAGUGACGGUAACUACCCAGAAAGGGACGGCUAACUACGUGCCAGCAGCCGCGGUAAUACGUAGGUCCCGAGCGUUGUCCGGAUUUAUUGGGCGUAAAGCGAGCGCAGGUGGUUUAUUAAGUCUGGUGUAAAAGGCAGUGGCUCAACCAUUGUAUGCAUUGGAAACUGGUAGACUUGAGUGCAGGAGAGGAGAGUGGAAUUCCAUGUGUAGCGGUGAAAUGCGUAGAUAUAUGGAGGAACACCGGUGGCGAAAGCGGCUCUCUGGCCUGUAACUGACACUGAGGCUCGAAAGCGUGGGGAGCAAACAGGAUUAGAUACCCUGGUAGUCCACGCCGUACACGAUGAGUGCUAGAUGUAGGGAGCUAUAAGUUCUCUGUAUCGCAGCUAACGCAAUAAGCACUCCGCCUGGGGAGUACGACCGCAAGGUUGAAACUCAAAGGAAUUGACAGGGGCCCGCACAGCGUGGAGCAUGUGUUUAGUUCGAAGCACGCGAGAACUACAGU
rnacentral:rRNA from 1 species